CUCUCCCCCACUGCAGUGCCCUGGUAGGUGAAAAGCCUAAACAGAUUCAGUGGAUAUUCACCGAAUCUGAGUGAAAGUUCCAGAAAAUGCUUAGUGGGACUGGUCAGACUUGCUGAUUGUAAGAUGGAGUCUUUAGCCAUAGGACACCAAAAGGUCUUUGAGACACAGAACAAGCGAUUUUGAGCUGAAGUUGAAAGAGAGGAUUUUCUAUUCUGCCCACCACCAGCCCCAAAGCCAGGAUGACCAGCAGAUCAAGGUCAACAAGCUUGUCAAGAACACAACUUAAGCAAAUGGAGAAGAGGCUGCCAAUGACACCUGGUUACAGUUGUAGAGACCAAUCUGACUCCUCUUUUUUGGGUUUAGAGUCCUCCUUGUGCUGCUACUGUGUUGGAGAUGGUUAAGCGAGGAAGCAGAGUCCAAGAGAGGAGUUCUU